ensembl:snRNA U1 U1 spliceosomal RNA
AUACUUACCUGGCAAGGGAGAUACCAUGAUCAAGAAGGUGGUUCACCCAGGGCGAGGCUUAGCCAUUGCACUCCGGUUGAGCUGACCUCUGCGAAUUCCCCAAAUGUGGGAAUCUCGAUUGCAUAAUUUCUGGUAGUGGGGGACUGCGUUCGCGCUCUCCCCUG